rnacentral:rRNA from 1 species
UGGGAAGUAUUGGACAAUGGGCGAAAGCCUGAUCCAGCCAUGCCGCGUGUGUGAAGAAGGCCCUCGGGUUGUAAAGCACUUUCAGUGGGAAGAAAGCCUCGGGAUUAAUACUUCCGAGGAAGGACAUCACCCACAGAAGAAGCACCGGCUAACUCCGUGCCAACAGCCGCGGUAAUACGGAGGGUGCGAGCGUUAAUCGGAAUUACUGGGCGUAAAGCGCGCGUAGGCGGUCUGAUCAGCCGGUUGUGAAAGCCCCGGGCUCAACCUGGGAACGGCAUCCGGAACUGUCAGGCUAGAGUGCAUGAGAGGAAGGUAGAAUUCCCGGUGUAGCGGUGAAAUGCGUAGAGAUCGGGAGGAAUACCAGUGGCGAAGGCGGCCUUCUGGACUGACACUGACGCUGAGGUGCGAAAGCGUGGGUAGCAAACA